GAUGAACGCUGGCGGCGUGCCUAAUACAUGCAAGUCGAGCGAAGAGAAGAGGUGCUUGCUCCUCUGACAUUAGCGGCGGACGGGUGAGUAACACGUGGAGAACCUACCUAUAAGAGGGGGAUAACUUCGGGAAACCAGAGCUAAUACCGGAUAAUAUAUUUAACCACAUGGUUCAAUAGUGAAAGACGGUUUUGCUUUACCCUAAAAAUGUCUCCCCUCCUAAUUAGCUAGUUGGUAGGUUAACGGCUUACCAAGGCAACGAUGCGUAGCCGCCCUGAGAGGGUGAUCGGCAACACUGUAACUGAGACAAGGUCCAGACUCCUACGGGAGGCAGCAGUAGGGAAUCUUCCGCAAUGGGCGAAAGCCUGACGGAGCAACGCCGCGUGAGUGAUGAAGGUCUUCGGAUCGUAAAACUCUGUUAUUAGGGAAGAACAAAUGUGUAAGUAACUAUGCACGUCUUGACGGUACCUAAUCAGAAAGCCACGGCUAACUACGUG
rnacentral:rRNA from 1 species